rnacentral:rRNA from 1 species
UCGUGYUGGGGAUUGUCCAUUGCAAUUAUUGGACAUGAACGAGGAAUUCCUAGUAAGCGCAAGUCAUCAGCUUGCGCUGAUUACGUCCCUGCCCUUUGUACACACCGCCCGUCGCUACUACCGAUUGAACGGCUUAGUGAGACCUCCAGAUUGGGUGUCGGCGAGUCUAACGGCUCAAGACGUCUGAAAAGCUGGUCAAACUUGGUCGUUUAGAGGAAGUAAAAGUCGUAACAAGGUAACCGUAGGUGAACCUGCGGUUGGAUCAUUA